GGCCUAGACUCCACCAGACCUCUGAAAGUAUGUUGUGGUAUCUGGACCAAGACAUGAGCGGCAGAUCCAUGAAGUCCAGCAAGUAGAGAAGUGGACCUACAUGGAUCAGAUGUAUUUGUCCAACAUCUCCCACAGAUGAUCAACUGUCCUGAGACUGGGAUGUCCUUCCUUAGUCCAUUUGUGGUCAGUACUGACCACUGUAGACCAGGAACACCCAUCAAGACCUGCAGUUGUGGAGAUGCUCUGACUCAGUCAUCACCAUUACAAUAUGGACCUGGUCAAAGUCACUCAGGUCCUUACGUUGCUCAUUUUGCUUCCAACAAAUGAGCUUCAAGAACUACAUGUUCACAUCCAAC